rnacentral:rRNA from 1 species
UAAUUCCGCAUAACAUCGCGAGCUGCAAUGCUUGCGAUCAAAGGAGCAAUUCGCUGGAGGAGGGGGUCGCGGCUGAUUAGCUAGUUGGUAGGGUAACGGCCUACCAAGGCGAUGAUCAGUAGCCGGCCUGAGAGGGCGCACGGCCACACUGGAACUGAAACACGGUCCAGACUCCUACGGGAGGCAGCAGUGGGGAAUUUUGCGCAAUGGGGGAAACCCUGACGCAGCAACGCCGCGUGGAGGAUGAAGUCCCUUGGGACGUAAACUCCUUUCGAACGGGACGAAAAAAAUGACGGUACCGUAAGAAGAAGCCCCGGCUAACUCCGUGCCAGCAGCCGCGGUAAUACGGGGGGGGCGAGCGUUGUUCGGAAUUAUUGGGCGUAAAGGGCGCGUAGGCGGUGCCGCAAGUCCAUGGUGAAAUCUCCAGGCUCAACUUGGAGUCUGCCACGGAAACUGCGAUGCUGGAGUGUGGAAGAAGUGAGUGGAAUUCCCGGUGUAGCGUGAAAUGCGUAGAUAUC